rnacentral:rRNA from 1 species
CGUCAAAUCAUCAUGCCCCUUAUGACCUGGGCUACACGCGUGCUACAAUGGCCGGUACAAAGAGUCGCGAAGCCGUGAGGCGGAGCUAAUCUCAGAAAGCCGGUCUCAGUUCAGAUUGUAGUCUGCAACUCGACUACAUGAAGGCGGAAUCGCUAGUAAUCGCGAAUCAGCAUGUCGCGGUGAAUACGUUCUCGAGUCUU